UACGUAGGGGGCAAGCGUUGUCCGGAUUUAUUGGGCGUAAAGAGCGUGUAGGCGGCCUGACAGGUCUGCUGUGAAAACUCGAGGCUCAACCUCGAGAUGUCGGCGGAAACCGUCUGGCUAGAGUCCGGAAGAGGAGAGUGGAAUUCCCGGUGUAGCAGUGAAAUGCGUAGAGAUCGGGAGGAACAUCAGUUGCGAAGGCGGCUCUCUGGACCAGCACUGACACUGAGGCACGAAAGCGUGGGGAGCAAACAGG
rnacentral:rRNA from 1 species